GCGAACGAGACCUCAAUGUAAUAUAGACGUAUAACGAACGAGUAUUUGCUUAAAACCUCCUUGUUUCCUUAUCAGUCGGACUAUCGACGGCGACCAAUACCUGAUACGAUAAUCUUAUCUACCUGUCUCCAUUUUUUAUUGAAGUUUAGAACCAGUGAAGUAAAAUCAGUCAAAAUGUUGGGUCCUUUGGCUAGAAUUUCAAACCAAUCUGGCAGAAAUGUGAUGAAGAGUUUCGUAAGGAACGGUUCCCAUGGCGGGAUUCCCGGGGAGAACCUUCCUUUCGACAUCUACAAUCGCACUCGUCUGACUUUCAACCUCUUCUGGUACGUCGGAACCGGCAUCGCAGCUCCCUUCAUCGUCCUGUGGCACCAGAUGAACAAGAAGUAAACUUGAUUCAUUCCAGCCGUCGUUAAACCUAAUUAUUAGUAAAAUAAUUUCGUUAUUAACUAUGUAGAUCAAUCUCAAAUAUAUAACACAAAAAAACA